UAGAGUGCGAUGAAGAAGAAGAGUAAAUUGUAUGAACGCUUCAGAGAGCUGAUGGUUGGUGAAAAUCAGUGCGGGACUAUUGUUGAAUGGGCUUCUGAGCUACUAGACUGAAAUAAUUAGUAGGUUUAGCGGAAUGUCUUACCGUUAAAAGGGACUAAGUAUGAAACAAUUAGAUUGUUUCUGUACGGAUUAAGUGCGUUUACUUAUGUGAACGAAUUAAGGUGGCACCACGGGUUACUCGUCCUUUUA
rnacentral:ncRNA from 1 species